AUUGAACGCUGGCGGCAGGCUUAACACAUGCAAGUCGAGCGAGCGGCGGACGGGUGAGUAAUGCUUGGGAAACUGCCUGAUGGAGGGGGAUAACUACUGGAAACGGUAGCUAAUACCGCAUACCAUCAGAUGUGCCCAGAUGGGAUUAGGUAGUAGGUGGGGUAAUGGCUGACCAAGGCGACGAUCCCUAGCUGGUCUGAGAGGAUGACCAGCCACACUGGAACUGAGACACGGGCCAGACUCCUACGGGAGGCAGCAGUGGGGAAUAUUGCACAAGGGGCGCAAGCCUGAUGCAGCCAUGCCGCGUGUAUGAAGAAGGCCUUCGGGUUGUAAAGUACUUUCAGCGGGGAGGCGUUACCCGCAGAAGAAGCACCGGCUAACUCCGUGCCAGCCGCCGCGGUAAUUC
rnacentral:rRNA from 1 species